UAGCAAGGUUAUUCGGAUGGGCUUCCAAU
rnacentral:sRNA from 1 species